rnacentral:lncRNA from 1 species
CGACAGAGCAAGACUCCGUCUAAAACAGAAAAAAAAAAAAAAAAAAAAAAGCUUAAUAGUUAAUUUAUCCAUUAAACUUAAAUUAUCAACUAAGGACACUAUAAGUGCUUUUCAUAUGGCUGCACAAGAUAUUGCAACUGAUACCAAGGUGAGUAAAGCAGCAGUCCCUACCUUCGAAGGGUUAGUUGCCUGUUUAGAAAUUUUUAUUAUGGUUUUAAAGUGAGGAUAAGCUGCAGAAAGGCAUUUUAAGUACAAAAAUAAUUGUAGGUCACACAGGAAUCUAAUUUAUAAAAGAAAAGGGAGCAUCUGGAGGAUUCAGAAGAGGGAAAGCAGACACCUGGUUGGAUGGAGUAAGAAAAGACUAUAAAUGGGAAGGAUUUCUGAAAAGACUUAAGACUUGAAGGAUGGCAUGUGUUUUGUCAAAAGAAAACAGAAAUGAGGGAAGUUGUAUGUAAAAGAACAGCAUAACCAAGAGCAUUCAUGUCAUCAUUAUCAUCAUCAUAACUGACAUUUACUGAAUACUUAAUUUGUAUGAGGCUUUGUGCUAAAUCUUUAACGUGUUAAAUCCUGUAAUCUUCAUAAUCACACUACAAAGUCAAGUCUAUUAUUAUUCCCAGUUUACAGAAGAGAAAACUGAUACUCUGGUUAAUUGCCCAGGGCCAUAUAGCUAAAAGCAGUGCAAUCUGAAAUUGACCAAGAUUCAGGUAACCAUGAGAAAUCUAGUGUGAAUAGAACAUUUAGCAUACACAUCAAUAAAUAAAAAGACUAAGUCUAGAAAUGCAGAUCAGGAUUUCCCAAGGCUCCAUAUGCUGGAUUAAAGGUUUCAUGCUUAGUUGACAGGCAAUGGGCAGCCAUUGCAGGGUUAUGAGCAGGUUUUUACGUUACCCAAUCUGUCAACACAUGGAGUGGAGACAUCAUGGAGGGGAGAGGUCUAGGGAUACAGUGAGACCAAGAAGUCCUCUCAAGUUUUUCAGGUAAGAAGCAAACUUAGAGUGAAAUUUUUGUUAAUGAAAUGAGGUAAGAGAUAGGAGAAACACAAAAGGUCAAAUCUACAGAACUCGUCAACUAAUGGAUUGAGUGCUGGAAGUGUUACAGAAAAUAAGAAGUCUGCAACAACUUGGAGAGCUGGGGUCUUGCCGCUGAACUGAUGGUUUCAUAAACAGAAAUUUUUGAACCACUUGGUGCCAUGAGAAGGGGCUGAAGAAAAGGAAGGCAGUGUCCAAGGUGAGGAGAAAAGGAAAAGGAAGAGGUUGGCAAGUGAGAAGUCCGCAAAGGGCAGCCUGACAUCUGGUAGUCCGAGGGGGCAGCUGGCCUGGGCCUUGUGUUCUGACUCCAGGGAAUGUGAAAUGAGCUGAUCAAGAUUUGGAGGAAACAGGCAAAACAACGUUACAUAUCACUCUGGCUAAUAUACAUAGCCAUAGGACCUCAGGCACAUAAGCCACAUGGAGACAAACACUAACUCUAAAGCCUCAGAAUGUUCUUUCCUAAUUGACUAUGAUAAAUAUUUGUAAACAUACAAAAAGUCAAAAGAUUGGCACAUUGAUCAUAAGUAUCCUAAAUUUGACAGUUGUAAAUAUUUGUUAGCAUUUGACUGUGUUUGCUUUCCCUGUGUGUAUACACAUAUAUAUAUGUAUUUAUAUAUGCAUAUGUUUCACUGAACCAUUUCAAAGUAUGUUGCCAACAUCUUGACACUUAACUCAUAAUCCCUUCAGUUUACCUCUGCUAAAAAUGAGAACACUCUCCUUAAUAACCAUAAUACCAUGAUACAUCAAAAAACUAAAAGAUAUUUUAAUGUCAUCUCUUAUCUAGAUAAUAUUCAAAUUCCCAUAUUGUGCCAAAAACAUAUUAGCAGUGUCUAAUCUAAGUUCAACUUUGCACUUGAGUGUUCUAUCACCUCAUUUUUUAAAUUUUCUUUUUAUUGAAGUGUAACAAGUGUACAGAAAAAUGCAACAAAUCCUGUGUCUAACUCAAUUUUCACAAAGUGAACACAUGUAACUAUCACCCAGACUGAGAAAUAAAAUAUUACCCACACUUCUCUCUCCCCAGUAGUUUGGCUCCCCAAAGGUAACCACUGUUCUGAUGUCAAUUACUAUCCAUUAUUUUUGCCCAUUUUUGAAGAGUAUGUAAAUAGACUCAUACAAUAUGUAUUUUAUUUUGUCUGACUUCUUCUGAGCAACGUUUGUGAAAUUCGUCAGUGUUAUUGCAUGUAGUAGUGAUUUCUUUAUUCUCAUGUUAUAUACUACUACAUUUUGUGAAUAUUCUACAAUUGAUUUGUUCACUCUUGAUUGGCCAUUUGGAUAUCCUUUUCUCAAAUGCGUGUUCAAGUCUAUGCAUAUUUCUAACUAUGUUGUCUAUCAUUUUCUUAUUGUGAAUUGGUUUUAUACUGAGAAUGUGUCUUUAUUAAAUAUGUAUCCCAAGUAUGUUUACCCAUGGUGGCUCGCCUUCUCAUUCUCUUAACCGUGUAUUUUUCAGAGGCGCUGUUUAGUUUAAUGAAUUCCAAUUUAUCAAUAUUUCCCUUUAUGACUAAUGCCUUUUGUGUCCUCUUUAAGAUAAACUCUCUGCCUACUCCAAAGUCACAAAUAUAUUCUCCUAUGUUGUCUUCUGUGAGCUUUAUUGAUUUACCUUUUACAUUUAGAAAUAUAAUCCAUCUGCAUUUGAUUUUUGUGUGUAAAGUGACAUACAGGUGAGAUUCACUUUUUUCCACAUGGAUAUCCAAUUGAAACAUUCCAUUCAUUGAAAUGACCAUUCUUUUCUCUCUUCACUGCUGUCAAUGUCAUCAUAUAUCCGGUGAUCAGGUGACCACAUACUAGUAGGUUUAUUUCUGGACUUAAUGUGUUACAUUACCCUAUUUAUUUAUCCUCCAGCUGAUACAACAUUGUCUUAAUUACUAUAAUGUUGUAGCAAAUAUUAAAAUCUUGUAGUGUGUAUCUUAGCUUUUUUUCUUCUUCAAUUAGAAAAACUGACUAAUACUUUGAGUAUUUUCGGCCCUCUGAAUUUCCAUACAUAAUUAAGAUUUUAACUUGUCCAUUUCCAGGAAAAAUAUUGUGCUGGGAUUUUGAUUGUUUUUUCACUGAAUCCAUAGACCAAUUAUAAAAAAUUGAAAUAGUUACAAUAUUGAAAUUUCUAAUCCACAAACAUAGAAUGACUCUCCAUUUGUCUGCUUUCAUUUCUCUCAAUAAUGUUUUUGUAGAUUUAUGUAUAAAAUCCUCAUAUAGCUUUUGUUAGAUUUAAUUAUAGGUAUUUGAUGAUUGCUGAUGCUGAUGUCAAUAUUUUUAUUAUUUUCUUUGCAAUUAUUUGUUGCUAGUAUAAAGAAAUACAAUUGAAUUUGUACAUUCACUUUGUAUCUAGAGUCCCACUUAAGUUGUCUUAUUUGAAUAGUUUGACCAUAGACUCUUUUCUAUUUUCUAUAAUGUUUAGAUUUCUAUGCCAUCUAAGAAUAAAGACAGUUGUAUUUCAUGCUUUCCAAUCCUAACACCUUUUUCGUGCUUUAUUGCUCUGGCUAAAACCUCUGUACAGUGUUGAAAAGAAGAGGUGGUAAGGCAAUCCUUGCAUUGUCUUAAUCUCAGGAGAGUUUUAAAUAACUCACCACAAAAUAGAAUAUUUACUAUAUAUUUUUUGCAGAUAUCAUUUAUCAGGUUAAAGAAAUUCCUCUUUAGUCCUAGUUUUCCAUGAGGGGCGGGGGUGGUGGUGUUAGUUUUAUUUUAAAUCAUGAAAUGACUGUUGAAUUUAGUCAAAUAUAUUUUACUGCAUCUAUUGAGAUGAGUAUGUGAUUUGUUAUUAUUCUAUUAAUGUGAUUUAUUACAUUGACUGAUUUUUUUCAUGUGAAGCCAACUUGCAUACCUGGAAUACCUGGAAUAUACCCAGUUUACUGUUAAUACCCAGUUUACUGUUUAUGUAUUAUCCUCUGCAUAUACAUUACUGGUUCAAAUUGCUAGCAUUUUGAGUAGAAUUUUGCAUCUACAUCCUUGAGAGAAAUUGGCCUGUAUUUUUACAUCUUUCUCACAUUUUAGUAUCAAAGUUACGCUGGCUUUGAAAGGUAAGUUGGAAGGUGUUGCUUGCCAUUCUAUUCUCUAGAAGAGCUUCUUAAAAUUGAUGUUAUUUCUUUAAGCAUUUCAAUUUCACUGAUGAAGGCUCUGGACCUGGAGAUUUUGGGGAUGGGGGGAAGGUGUUUGUGUAUAAAUACAUGUAGGACUAUUUAUAUUUAAUUACCUUUUGUAUAAUUUUUGGUAAAUUAUAAGCUUUAAUUUUAUCUAUACUACCAAAUAUAUUGACAAUAUAUCAUUAUUUUAAUAUA